CCAGUCGACACCAGAGCUUUGAGUCUGUGAAAGAAGAGAGGAAGAAAAAUGAAACGCACGCCUUAAAGAAAGUUCACCACAGCACUCAGUGACUGACACAAAGGGCUUUUUUGCUCUUUGUUUGUCUUUCAGUUAAGCGGCAGAGAGGAACAAGAUGAUCUUGUGCACAUCCUGAGGAAUUUUCUGGCUGAACAACAAAACAGAAAACAGCCACACCUAUGAGGACGCACACGAGGGCUCGGAAGGAAAAGAAUAUGGAAAAGUUGUUGAGCAUACCUAACACCGAGGUUUCUACAAACAGUGUGGGAGGCAAAAGAAAGUCUUUGGUAUUCUUCAGGUUUUCCUUGUUACUCAGUUUGUUUGUUUUUAUCAGUGGUUAAAACAGCAAGCUCUAUUUUUGUACUUUAUAAAAAUGAUAAAGUUUUUUAUGCAAAUCUAACGAUAACUGGUUUAAAAAUGUUUGUUUAUUUUCUGUCAGACAGAAAUGGUCGCAGUGCUGCACCAUCAUAUUAAAUGCUGUUUGCCAGAGACAACCAAUAAGAACAAAUCUGGCUUAAAGCGAGAGGAACAAAAACAGCUGGUCAAGAGCCGCACGGAGGCUGGAGCUCAGGACCAGAGCAGGUCAGCUGCUAAUCAGACGGUUGGUGCUUUAAUCCCCGACUGCUCCAGUCUGCACACCAAAUGGGCAAGACACGAACCCCAAGUCGUUCUCCCAUCAGAGUUUGAGUGUUAGAUAGAAGGUAUGUGAAUGAGGCACGUUGUAUAAAAUGCCCAGGUAGAGGAGGAAAGUGCUACAUAAGAACCAAACCAUUUAUGAAAAAAUAAAUUUGAUUUUGAACUGGAAUUCAUGCAGAGACAACGAUAAACCUCAGACACGGGGCUGGACCUGACAAGUCUGAAUCACAUUUUAACUGAAACAUCUACAGACGGUACAAACAGCGCAGCAGCCGUUAACCCACAGAAUCACUUUUAUACUACAUUUGUGAGAAUAUCACAGAAAUGUCGGCCAACGUUUCAUCAAGAGUGAAAAACUGAUUUGAAACUUUUGAUUUAAAACAUUAAAACAAAGCACGGAUGAAAGUUAUUCAAACAAAUACAUGUGGACAUAAUAAUCAAUGUAGUUACACACUGAGCAGACAUGGAGAAACAUUAGCGCUCAUGGUAAACGCUCCACUUUCAUCAGCUGCUGUUCAUGUUAAGGUUGACGGGUGCUGGACGGGCACCAGAGGGCUGAUGCCCUGACCACGGGGGAAGAGACAACGCUGUUCACACCGACUCUGAAUCGACACGCAAAGUCAGCCAACACACACACACACACACACACACACACACACACACACACAGUAAAAACUUAUCAAGGCUGAAUGUCUUUCUAUAACUGAGACAGGUAACUGUUUAUGUCUCUGUCAUUAUCCUCCCAGGACCUACGUCCACAUAUAUGGGGAUCACAUUCUGGGUUGUCUAGACCACAAACUACAGAAACUACACCAGGGAUGGAGAAAGACCAAAUGUGAGUAAAGAUGAGACGCCAACACGGAUCACGAGUCAGAGGAAGCGUCAGUUCCUCAGCAGACAUGGGCAGCAACAUGGAAGAUGAUACGCAGCGCGUGUAGGAUGAUAUUAACGCUUUUCACUCAGAGUGUGAACACACCACACAGGGCUGACUCCUCUUUACAAUAAACUGACACUUCAGAGUUACUUGUAAAAGUGUUACUCACCCGUUCGAGUGAUCUUAUAGCAUCAUUUUUGUGUUUCAUGUUUUCUGCUUUGUAAUUCAAAGUGGGGAAAAGACAGCAGAUUGCAGUAACGUCUGCAUCCUCAGUCUGUGUGCAGUCCACAAGUUUUCACGUGGGAUGAGCAGUGAAGAUGAAAGAGCCACUGACACAGUGUGAACCGAAAUGUACCCGUUCACGCCUCCAGCCCAACCUGGAGCUAAAGCUGCCGAGGAGCAGAAACAGCAGCACAUCAGAGAAUGGAAUUAGCCACCGCUCGGAGCUAAGAAUCUGGACACGCUAAUGUGGUUUUCAUCUCCGGGGAUUCAGAAGUUUAUUCUGUACGCAACAAGCUAUUGUUCCUGUGGGACAGGCGUACUGCGCACAGCACGGUCCGAAGGUUUGAAAGCACAGAGCUGGUGAGCAGACCAGACUCCAAAUGAACGCUAAGGCUGUUUUUCACCCUCCACAACAAAACUAUUACUGCCAGCUUAAUAAAGCUGUACUCACAUCAAGA